GAAAUACUCUAGAUUUUUUAGAUGUUUUCUCUUUUUUUUGUACAUGUUUUUUGUGUUCGCUCGAUGAGUAAUUUGGGAAAAUCAACGGAUAUACCAGAGUAAUGCAAAGAAUUUUUUGUUCGGAUGAAAAACAUUUUUACAGUGAAGGGUAAUGGAAAGUAUUUGUUUGUCUUAUGUGCCAAUGCUUUUCUUAUUCGAACCUUCUUUUCUUUUUCUAUUUUUUAAAGAAUAUAUUGCAUCAUUUUUUUGGUGAAACUACUACGUAAAGACAAAAAGAAAAGGAGAAGCAAAUGCAGACAGGGGAUUUUGUCAAACAUGUCUACAGGAGAGGGGGGUGGGGGAAGAAAGUGCAAUGCAAAUGAAAUUAUGAAACACCUCGAGCAAUAUAGAAGAAAUAAUAUGUGCAAAGUAUUAUAUCCAGCAUGUUGUCCAGUCACCGGAACGGAAUUGUUACUCACAACAGCAAGAGGAUGUGUCGAUGUUCCAAACUGAUGGACCGGAUAGGCCAACGAGUAAGGCGGGAUCAUCUGUAGAAAAUUAACCCCAUCGCCUUGCAUUUGAGAAAUCCUUGGGUCAAACCACAUUUCCGGGUACUGGGAGCGCACUGGCUGCAAUCAAAACAUACAAACUAGCCUCUGUUUUGUUUCUCCAAUCAACAGAUGGAAAAGAGAGAGGCUACAAGGAUAUACAACAGCACCUGCUUGUUUGUUGUCUGGAGUAGAAUUUCAGAUCUAGCAUUCAGACAAGUAUCCACAAGGUUGAACAAGGAGGGGGGGACUACGAACUCACCCUGAUCUAUUCACUGUCGAACGAACAUGCAUGCCUGAUGCCCCUCGGACGGUGAUCAGUAUGGUAUCGCUGGCCCCAUACAUGUGCGAUGUGUCGCUCUCUUGCUGGAACAGAAGUCUCCGGCACGUAAAGCACCGGCCGGAUAAGGAGUAGAGCUUCUGGAUGCACACAUCUACUAUCUACUCUACUACAAAUCCACGGCAUCAUUGCUUGCCCUUUUUGCCAAGCCUAACAUACAGGACCAGGCGCACUUAAUUGGCAGAACAACGUGCUCGGGCCUCAACCCACCUAACUGAUGGCGUCGUAAAGCUACAUUUGCUCUGCCGGCCGGUCAGGCCUGUGGCUGCUGUGAUGAAGGUCAAAGGGCUGAGCCGGACAAAAGCAGAGGAGACAGAGGCCUCUGACCACUUGAGGAAACCAGCUGCUGCUUAUUUUUCAAAGACUGCGUGCGUGCACCUGCCGUUCCCUGUUCUUUAUUGUUGUUGUAGUUGUUGUCAAACCGCCGCGCCUGGUUGGAAAACAGCGAGAAGAGCUCACUGUCCUGGCAUGGCAUGGCAACGAUACUUCUCAUUCAGCGGCCUUUUCCAAAUUCAGGCCUGAAAUGAUGAAGCUCCAGCCUUGAAUCCACCAGAUCGACAGUACGUAGACACUGUAGCUGGACGGCAGCUGAGACCAAAUUAGUUUCGAGGUAAAAGCACCCCAGGUACCCUAACUUGCAGGGAAUGUGAUGAUUUAGUCCCAAACUUGUAAAAUGCAACUCCAUCAUACCGUAACUUGCAUUGGAUGUGACGAUUUGGUCCUGGGCCUAUCACAGCGUGACAAGUGGCAGCCGGAUGGGUGGACCGGUCUUCGCCUGCACUUUUGCAAAAAACACCCUGUCAUCUUGUCUAAUUAACCCGCGCUACAGGGUGAACGAUCAGUGGUUGGACU